UAGUGAAUAGUUUAAAAUAAAACGAUGGGUUGUGGUUCCGUAAAUGAUGAUUUGUCUUCACUAA
rnacentral:tRNA from 1 species